AUGCCGCGUGUGUGAUGAAGGUCUUAGGAUCGUAAAGCACUUUCGCCAGGGAUGAUAAUGACAGUACCUGGUAAAGAAACCCCGGCUAACUCCGUGCCAGCAGCCGCGGUAAUACGGAGGGGGUUAGCGUUGUUCGGAAUUACUGGGCGUAAAGCGUACGUAGGCGGAUCAGAAAGUUGGGGGUGAAAUCCCGGGGCUCAACCCCGGAACUGCCUCCAAAACUCCUGGUCUUGAGUUCGAGAGAGGUGAGUGGAAUUCCGAGUGUAGAGGUGAAAUUCGUAGAUAUUUGGAGGAACACCAGUGGCGAAGGCGGCUCACUGGCUCGAUACUGACGCUGAGGUACGAAAGUGUGGGGAGCAAACAGGAUUAGAUACCCUGGUAGUCCACACCGUAAACGAUGAAUGCCAGUCGUCGGGCAGUAUACUGUUCGGUGACACACCUAACGGAUUAA
rnacentral:rRNA from 1 species